rnacentral:lncRNA from 1 species
UUUGGGGAGGAACAGCACAGGAGUACACUGAUCUCUAUACAGUGCGUUGAAGAUCGAUAUGUCCCAUUGCUGGUGGCACCAACAUUGAUCUCUUGGGUAAGGUGGUGACCACCAGGUUUCUCCACUGGAAGGUCUUGGCCACUCCCAGGUUUGCCCAGAGCCAAGUGUUCAGGUGACCCAGGACCUGCAGGAGAAAUCACCAAGAAGAGGUUAUGUGCACAGAAAAUUCACACUGGAUGGGGCAAGCCAAGAUGAGUGACUAUCUGCUGUCUCCAGUGGUUCCCCAUGCUACACCUGAUUCUGUUUUCAGAGCCAUCUUCUUGGGAUAUUGGUUCUUCGCCUGAUUAUGUCUCAUCUGACAGGUCUCACUCCUUCUAAGCAACACCCUGCAGAGUGAUGCAUCUCUACCCAGAAAAGGUCCACUGAAGGAACCAGACGUUUCCACAGGAGAAAGGCACAGCAUGGAAUUACUAUACAGAGAAAUACAUGAGCCAUCAAGAAAUAAAGUGAGAAUGUGGAUGAGGCCCAUGAAGAAGCCAAUAUGCCAAACAGUGAGCACACCAGUGUGAUCCAUCAAGAUCUGAUUGUCGCCGAAGAAGUCCGCUGAUGACACAGCCGUUAGUGACAGGAAUAUCGAGAGUGGACGAAUGCUUGAGUAUUGGAUAAAAGCUGUCAGGAUUGGUAGCUGCUUGGUUUCCUUGUUUUUUUGCUGAGGAAAAGGAGGAGGAGGCUUAAAAGCUGUUACAAAUAAAGAAC